rnacentral:rRNA from 1 species
CAGGAUGAACGCUGGCGGCGUGCCUAACACAUGCAAGUCGAACGAAGCACUGCUGGUUGAGACUCGUCAAGAACCGGCUUGACUAGUGGCGGACGGGUGAGUAAUGUAUGAGCAACCUGCCUUUCAGAGGGGGACAACAGUUGGAAACGACUGCUAAUACCGCAUAAUGUAUCGAGGAGGCAUCUCCAUGAUACCAAAGGAGCAAUCCGCUGAAGGAUGGGCUCAUAUCUGAUUAGUUAGUUGGUAGGGUAACGGCCUACCAAGACUGCGAUCAGUAGCCGGACUGAGAGGUUGAACGGCCACAUUGGGACUGAGAUACGGCCCAGACUCCUACGGGAGGCAGCAGUGGGGAAUAUUGGGCAAUGGGCGAAAGCCUCGACCCAGCAACGCCGCGUGAAGGAAGAAGGUCUUCGGAUUGUAAACUUCUUUUAUGAGGGACGAAGGACGUGACGGUACCUCAUGAAUAAGCCACGGCUAACUACGUGCCAGCCGCCGC